CGCCUGCAGUCCAGGUUGCACCGCAUUUCUCUGGUUCUCUGGAGCGCGUGCCUCGGUAGAGCAGUGGUCACCGUCUCCGGGAGCCCACACGCCGCUCUCUGUGAGAAGAGAGUCACCCAGGCGGGCUUUUACUUUAGGGAGAUCUGGAGAAGGAGAAACAGAGACUCCAAAAUAUCUUUGCCACCGGGAAGGACCCAGAGAAACGGAAAAGAAAGGCCCCUUCGGUGAGACAAGAGGACCCAGCCCCUGAGCCAGACCGGUUCGAAGAGUGUAAGCCACCCACAGGCCAGUCACGCUGGGGGUGGGGGCAGUGUGUGGAGGGAUCCCUGAGGGCCAACAGGUAAGAAAAACCAUCUGACAACAGAAGUGCUUCCCCUCCGUGAGAGGCAGUCUGCUGCCCCACACCCCACACACAGCCUGGGGGCCCCCAGCACUCCAUAUGCUGAUGGCCCUUCUCCGCUGUCCAGUGGUGAAAGAAAUCCAGGAGAGGAGAGAAUUCCUGGCCGACAUGGAAGCCCUGGGACAGGGCAAGCAGUAUCGAGGACUCAUCCUGGCUGAAAUCUCCCAGGUACAAGAAACCACCAGGGAAGUGGGGAGGGGAGGGGUCAACAUAAAUGUAGUAGAAAUCAAGGGCCAGCCCUGGCUGUGGGGCUCAGGAGUCAAGCUGUAGCUCACAUCUGGCCUGGCUCCCCGGGUUUCUACCCCUGAUACCACCUUUCCCUGAUGCCUUUUGUAGAAAGUCCGGGAGAUGGAAGACAUUGACCACAAGCGGAGUGAGGAACUUAGGAAGGCUCUUGCCACCCUUAGUCUGGCUCCAGUGACAGGGCCAGGAUAGCCUAGCCUUGAUCCCUGGAGCCCAUCCCUUUGCCAAGCAGGGUGGUCCCCAGGUCAGCCCAGCCACGUCAAAGAGCCACACAGCACUGCCCUGGCCUGCAGUACCUUAACACGUACACAGGAGCCUAGCCCUGCCCAGGGAGGCCAAGUCAGUUCUUGGCGCCUCCAAGACCCACAGUCACAGACAAGAGCUUCUAGUCUUUCCUAGCAGAAAGAGCCCCAUCUCAUCCAUAGUGAAAGCAAGGCCCGGUCCCCCCACCUUAGACAUGUCUGUAAGGACAUCCACUGGGCCCUCUUCCCGCCACCUCCAGCCUCUGUGUGUCCUGCUCAUUUAGUUUUCUAAACUUAGGAAUAAUUUCGAUUGCUUUCUUCCAUGUUGGGAUCUACAUAUUUGACUUAUCACAUCGGGCAAAUGUUCAACCACAAUGAUUAACUGGCUAAUAAACCACAUCUAACAGGGGUUAUUACAUGUACUAUUUUGUUUUUAGAGGGAUAAGGCUUAUUUGUUCAAGGAGAUAGAAACUGUGAAGCACAGAUGGUCCCCAGAUACCUCUUUGCAUAUUUUAAGUGGAAGUGGAAACCAGUGCUCCUGAGUACCCCAUAGCUGGGCACCAUGGUAGGUACUGAAUUUCACUCAUUUAUUAUCUCAGUAAACUUGUGGGAUGGUUCAUUAUCCCUUGGUGAAAACUAAAGACUCACCAAAAUACUACCACCAAGGGCAUUUAACUAGCAAGUAGCCUGCUCAGCUUUAAAAGUUAGCUUGACAUGUUUCUACUAAACCCAUGAUACACAGAAAGAAAAGAACAGGGUGGGGACAGCUACACUAAAAGAGCCCUGGCGUUGGAGUUCCAAACCCAGCUUGUGCUGUGUGACCUUGGGCAGAACCCACAGCCUCAGCAUGUGUUUGCCCAUCUAUGAAGCCCUUAGGGGCUGCUGAGAGGAGUCACCUGACAAGGCAAGCAGCCCCCACCCUUGGCCCAGUGCACAGUCCAUUGGUCCUCUUCCCUCUGGUUUCUGAACCCACGAGCCUUCCCCAGUAUUCUGCUGUUUUCCUACCCAUCAUCAACCACCCUGUCUCCUGCACCUGAAGGGAGUCGCAGAAGCCUAUCAGGUCACACGACCCAAUUUGGGUUUGCAGAGUAAGUGGGGCCCUAUUAGUAGAGAGGCCCAGAUCUAGGGCUGGCUCAGGGACAUCACACGGGAAGCCUAUGUCACACACCCUGGGGAACCUAGGGGCAGAGGGUACAAUUUGACGGGAACAUCUGUCCUCCACCUGAAAGACCCCACCAUAUGGCAGCAAAAUGGACAGCACCAGGACAAAUUCUGCCAACGCUUGACAAUAUGGUAUCUGCCUACUCUUGUUAAACUCAAAUAAUUUGUCAACAUUUACAAAUUCCACACAAAAUCUGGAUUUCCAGCUUCUCAAAAUGGAAAACAUCUGGCAACACUGUGCCCACGUUCAUUCCCAAAGGCAACUGCUGACUCGUGUGAGAAACGCCCUCUCACGCUGUGGCAGGCAUCCAGUUGACCCGUCCCCACCACCCAUGUCUCCUAACACAGAACAGCCUAUUGGAGCCAUCUCAUAGCUUACACCAGGCCAAGUUCACAUAUGUUACCUGCCUGGCCCCAGAAAGGCCUUGGAGUUUGUGGCCCCAACUCCAGGCCAACAGGCAUUUUUGGAAAGAGGCCACCAGGAGCCACCCCUCCCUACAAAGGAAGAGGAUCCUGCCCAGUGGCAGGCAGUGAGGGCCAAGUCCCUCUUGGAGGGCAGCCUCAAAAUGGGCCUGGGCCCGCUGGGCACCCAGGGAUGCCCAGCCACAAGGCAUGGCACAGCAGGCAGGAAGGUGGACGUGGCCAUCCCCUGAGGCUACAGGGCACUGCCAGCUGAGGUUGUCACUGUUUAUUGUUGGUGAGGAAAAUCCUCACAAGUUAAUACAGUGUGAUCUUUUCCCAGAGGUGUCUUCAGGGAGGAGGCCUGGGGGCAUCCCAGAAAUAGCUUAUAGCAACAAUGCUUUGACAAAGAGCUGCAGGGACCUUCCCCUGCGGUGGGGGGGAAGUCCCCAUCAUAUCCCCUCUCCUACAGCCAUCCGUAUAGGGCAAGUGGCCAU